rnacentral:rRNA from 1 species
UCGGGAAUAUUGCACAAUGGAGGAAACUCUGAUGCAGUGACGCCGCGUGCAGGAAGAAGGUUUUCGGAUUGUAAACUGCUUUAGACAGGGAAGAAGAAAGACAGUACCUGUAGAAUAAGCUCCGGCUAACUACGUGCC